ensembl:ncRNA K03H1.18 ncRNA
AGCUUCUCGUUAAUGAAGGACAAGAAAAAUGUAAUAGAAAGUAAGUUCAUCACAUCGAUUCACACUCCUAAUCAUUCAACAAGAAGGGAAAAACGUCAUUUCAGACAUUAGAAUGCAAAUAACGUUCGUGAUACGAGUGAUGAGUCAUCG